UACGGAGGGUGCAAGCGUUAAUCGGAAUUACUGGGCGUAAAGCGUGCGCAGGCGGUUUGUUAAGUCCGUUGUGAAAUCCCCGAGCUCAACUUUGGAAUUGCAAUGGAUACUGGCAAGCUGGAGUAUGGUAGAGGAAGGUGGAAUUCCCGGUGUAGCAGUGAAAUGCGUAGAGAUCGGGAGGAACACCAGUGGCGAAGGCGGCCUUCUGGACCAAUACUGACGCUCAUGCACGAAAGCGUGGGGAGCAAACAGG
rnacentral:rRNA from 1 species